GACAGAGGCCUCAAGCGUUAGGCGGAAUCACUGGGCUUAAAGCGUGUGUAGGCGGACUUCUAAGUGCCUUGUGAAAUCCCACGGCUCAACCGUGGAACUGCUGGGCAUACUGGGAGUCUUGGGCCAUUCAGGGGCAACUGGAACAAGCGGUGGAGCGGUGAAAUGCGUAGAUAUCCGAAGGAACAUCAGUGGCGAAAGCGACUUCCUGGACCAGAACUGACGAUCAGGCACGAAAGCGUGGGGAGCAAACAGG
rnacentral:rRNA from 1 species